GAUGAACGCUGGCGGCGUGCCUAAUACAUGCAAGUCGAGCGAACGGACGAGAAGCUUGCUUCUCUGAUGUUAGCGGCGGACGGGUGAGUAACACGUGUAUAACCUACCUAUAAGACUGGGAUAACUUCGGGAAACCGGAUCUAAUACCGGAUAAUAUUUUGAACCGCAUGGUUCAAAAGUGAAAGACGGUCUUGCUGUCACUUAUAGAUGGAUCCGCGCUGCAUUAGCUAGUUGGUAAGUUAACGGCUUACCAAGGCAACGAUGCAUAGCCGACCUGAGAGGGUGAUCGGCCACCCUGGAACUGAGACACGGUCCAGAGUACUACGGGAGGCAGCAGUAGGGAAUCUUCCGCAAUGGGCGAAAGCAUGGCGCAGCGACGCGGCGUGAGUGAUGAAGGUCUUCGGAUCGUAAAACUCUGUUAUUAGGGAAGAACAUAUGUGUACGUAAAUGUGCACAUCUUGACGGUACCUAAUCAGAAAGCCACGGCUAACUACGUG
rnacentral:rRNA from 1 species